GACGAACGCUGGCGGCGUGCUUAACACAUGCAAGUCGAACGAGUGGCGAACGGGUGAGUAAUACGUGGGUAACCUGCCCUCUUUUUGGGAUAAGCUUUGGAAACGGGGUCUAAUACCGAAUAAGGGGGAUGGGCUCGCGGCUUAUCAGUUUGUUGGUGGGGGGAUGGCCUACCAAGGCGGUGACGGGUAGCCGGCCUGAGAGGGUGACCAGCCACAUGGGGACUGAGACACGGCCCAGACUCCUACGGUAGGCAGCAGUGGGGAAUUUUGGACAAUGGGCGCAAGCCUGAUCCAGCCAUGCCGCGUGUAUGAAGAAGGCCUUCGGGUUGUAAAGGACUUUUGUUAGGGAAGCGGUACCUAAAGAAUAAGCACCGGCUAACUACGUGCCAGCAGCCGCGGUAAUUC
rnacentral:rRNA from 1 species